UCCCCUAUAGCUCAGUUGGCAGAGCAUUCGACUGUUAAUCGAAAGGUCACUGGUUCGAGCCCAGUUGGGGGAGCAA
rnacentral:tRNA from 10 species